rfam:Oceanobacillus oncorhynchi strain Oc5 genome assembly, contig: CONTIG000001
AGCAACUACUAGGGGAGCCCAACAUCGCGGGCUGAGAGGGAAGCAUGCUUACUUUCCGACUCUUACAAACCUGAUCUGGCUAAUACCAGCGUAGGGAAGUAGUCAAUCAACAUA